rnacentral:misc_RNA from 1 species
UAAAAAAAAAAAACAAACAAACAAAUUGCCCCUUUAAGAGAUAUUUUGAAAAAUCACAGUUUCAAAUUAAAAUUUAUAAAAGAAAAACUGUGUUUAAAUUCUAGAGUCGUCUUUACUGGAAGAGUUUUAUUUGAAUACAUCAUAUAAUUAAAUAAAAAAAUAUAAAAAAAGCUAAGGAAUAUUUGUUUGACAACAGUAGUACCGAGCAUUUGUUUGACAACAGUAGU